UCGGCAGCUCCAGGCUAUUCCGAGGAACAGUCUUCAGAGAGCCUGGGGUGCUGAUGGGGAAAAGCUGUUGCUGAGAUUUGACAAGUUUGGUCCUGAGAUGUCAGAAAGGAUUUCAGCUCUUCUGCCACCCCAAGGACGGUGGCGCGUAAAUCACAGUGAGCUGGCUUAUGUCAGGUCAACUGUGGAAUUUGAUCCUAGCGCAUUGCUCCCUCCUCUUCCUUGCCUGCGUCUCUCCCUCUCUCAGCUCUAGUUUGAGAUCAGCACAGAUUCCCUGGGUGAUUUUUGAGAAAACUGCCUCCUCUUUAGGACUUGGCAUCCCCUAACCUGCAUCAGGAAAGGGUGGCGACAGAUACUCUCACACCCAGGGAGGCUGCAAGGCCCACCCUCUACCCUCCACCUGGGUUCUCUGGCGUCGAGACUUGUGCCCUACAGUUCUGGGCCGUUGGGGUGAUGUCCCAGUGGGACCAGGGUGAGGGUGCAGGUAUCUGAGGGAGUAGUAGGACCAGAACCUCUAACCUUAGGGAGGCUUCCUGGGAGCCAAGCUUGGUGACUUAGAAUGUGAAUGUCUGACCCAUAUCCCACUACCUUUUGGUGGGUGCUGCAGAGGACAAUGGAGAGAGAGUCAACUCUGAAGAGUGGUCUUGUGGAAGAGGCAGCUGGCUGGUUCAGUGUGGCACUGGCAGCCUCCCUAAGGUUCCCAGGUAGAAGUUUCUGACAGGUAGAUUUCAGCUGUGUUUAAGGAAGAACUUUGAAGUUGUCAGAAUGAGCGGUCUUGUGAUAGUGAGCUCCCUGUCUCCAGAGGCAUGCAAGCAGGACACUUUCACAUAUGCAUUCAAGAUGACCUAUGCAAGGCGUUGUGCUAAGUGCUAGGAGUGCAGAGGAGAACGAGACCCAGUGGGGAAACAGGCACUUGCAAUGCUGCUGUGAGUGUGAGCAGAGGUCAGCGUGGGCAUCUGGAGCACAGGGAGGGAGUCCUGAAGGCUGGGUUGAGGAUGAGGAUACAGCUCAUUGCUGAGCCUUAUGGUGAACCAGAAGUUUACCAGGCAGACAGGAGCUGGGGAGAGGGCUGGCAUUCGUCCAUUCAGGUUAUGUUUUCUGAAUUAUAUAUAGAAGGACAUGUUGCAGAAGAAAUGCAAGUACAGUGAAGAAUAAGACUGGGGAACUUUUACAAUUCAGAGUGGCCUUCACUGUGGGCGGUCCGAAUUGAUCCCUGUAUACAGGUGCUUCUGGGGUGACAUUUUCCCUGCUCCAUGGAGCUCCGGGAGGAGUGCGGACCAACCCCUUCUUUGCAGGCCUGUCUGUGGGGUGCCACUCCUCCUCCCACCUCCCCACUGCACAGACAGCCCAUCAGUGUCCCUGAGCUGCUCCAGAAGGAUGCAGCUCUGAGGAGGCUCUGGGAGCGGUGUAUCCUAGCAACCUCUGAGGCUGGCAUCUGCAGGGCUAGGCCCAGACUCAAGGCUCUUUCUAAUUUGCCAGCCUUCCCUUAAUGAUAAGCUUUCCCACACGGAUGUGGAGUGGGGAGGAAGAGGGGAGAAGUGGGCAGGAAGUGUUGCCUCCAACCCCAUCACAGAGUAGGUCAAGCCUCGCCCACAAUACUGCCGGGGAUGGGGAAGGAGGGAGGGCACAGUGAGUCCGUUAACUGAAUAUGCCACUUGUCCAUCACCGUGGCCGGUUUAUCACCAUUUAGAGGACAAUGAAUCCAGGCAGUGAUCCACCAAUGAUAACUAACAUCAUAAAAAGAUACAUGGCCGGAUAUGAUGUUCCUUCUGACGGAAGACCACAACACCUGCUGAAAAAUCAAAUCUGAAUCGGAUCAAGCCUCUAGAGGAGGCAGCACCCAGGGUCAUUCCUGGAGCAUAAACGAUCCCUGCAGAACAUGGGCUAGAAGACCCCACAGUGGGGCAGAGGCAGGUCCUGGACUGGGAUCCCAGCAGUGAGAAGACCUGGACAUCAACCCUAUUUCAUUGUGCCUCUGCAAAUCUCCCAACUUUUGGAGCUGUAGCUGCAAGCUCAGACUUGUGGUUUCCUGUACCUGGAGGAGGCCCAGGUCAUUCUGUUAAGUCCCUUGUCUAUUUCCUGCUUUUAUCUGGAUGCUGAGUUAAUUAUUUGAUCCAACAAUAAAACUAACAAGGUUUUAUUUGUUUUUAAUGUCUUCUCUUUGCUGAACGCUGUGCUGGGUGCUGUAGCUGACAUGGUUUUUGUCUUAACAGCUCAUGAAUCAAAUCCCAGCUCCACCUUUUAUAGCUUUAGACAAGCAUUUAACCACCACUUGGGCCUGUUUCCUUACCUGCAAAGUGGGGAUAAUGACAGUUAAUAGCUACUUCAUUGUGACUUUGUGAGGAUUAAAUAAGAUACGGCAGAUAAACUACUUAAUAGGGUCUGGCACAUUGUAAGCCUCAAUAAAU
rnacentral:lncRNA from 10 species